CUAUUGUGUUCAUCAUUCAAAGACCUUGAAGAGUCCUGCCUGUGACUGUUCCAGUGCUUGCUCAGGUCUUGUUUUUAUAAUUCCCCUCCUGUACUGUGGCAUGACUGUGUUUGAAUUUACAAGGUGAUAUUUGUGAGGUCUGUGCCUACUGUACUGAUCCUGCACCUCUUCAACCACACAACAUUUUAGCUGGUGAUUAGAGGCUUAGGCUGUGUCAGAGCCUGUAUUCAUGAUCACUAUUACAACAAAAAGCACGAG
rnacentral:lncRNA from 1 species